UAGGGAAUCUUCCACAAUGGACGCAAGUCUGAUGGAGCAACGCCGCGUGAGUGAAGAAGGCUUUCGGGUCGUAAAACUCUGUUAUUGAAGAAGAACGUGUGUGACAGUAACUGGUCAUGCAGUGACGGUAUUCAAUCAGAAAGUCACGGCUAACUACGUGCCAGCAGCCGCGGUAAUACGUAGGUGGCAAGCGUUGUCCGGAUUUAUUGGGCGUAAAGCGAGUGCAGGCGGUCUUUUAAGUCUGAUGUGAAAGCCUUCGGCUUAACCGAAGAAGGGCAUCGGAAACUGGGAGACUUGAGUGCAGAAGAGGAGAGUGGAACUCCAUGUGUAGCGGUGAAAAUGCGUAGAUAUAUGGAAGAACACCAGUGGCGAAGGCGGCUCUCUGGUCUGUAACUGACGCUGAGGCUCGAAAAGCGUGGGUAGCAAAACAGGAUUAGAUA
rnacentral:rRNA from 1 species